rnacentral:rRNA from 1 species
CCUACGGGAGGCAGCAGUGAGGAAUAUUGGUCAAUGGUCGGGAGACUGAACCAGCCAAGCCGCGUGAGGGAUGAAGGUACAGAGUAUCGUAAACCUCUUUUGUCAGGGAACAAAGGCGGGGACGUGUCCCCGGAUGAGUGUACCUGAAGAAAAAGCAUCGGCUAACUCCGUGCCAGCAGCCGCGGUAAUACGGAGGAUGCGAGCGUUAUCCGGAUUUAUUGGGUUUAAGGGGUGCGCAGGCGGUCUGUAAAGUCAGCGGUCAAAGCCCGGGGUCAAACCCCGGACCGCCGUUGAAACUGGCAGUCUAGAGUUGGAGAGAGGUAUGCGGAAUGCGCGGUGUAGCGGUGAAAUGCAUAGAGAGCGCGCAGAACUCCGAUUGCGAAGGCAGCAUGCCGGCUCCACACUGACGCUGAGGCACGAAAGCGUGGGUAUCGAACAGGAUUAGAUACCCGGGUAGUC